CGUCGAGACUUGAGAAAGAGCUGAGAAUGGAGACUCCACAGAAAACAAACAUAUUCAGAAGAAAAAUGGAGGAGAAGCUUCCAAAUUGACAUGUGAAACCCUAUAAACCGAACCAAAUCAAAGGGCGCUUACAGAGAGAAAGAAUGGAGAAGAACCAGAACAGUAAUGACAACCAGUAUAAUCCGAUCAGAAUCCUAAAUCAAAUGGUCUCAGAGCCCUACUACCUCUUCCACUUCCUCGCUUUCUUUUCCUAUAUUCCGGUCCGAUGCUCUGCAUCUCAACUUCUCUCUCCUCACUUCAACUCUCGUCUUCUUCACCGAGAACUUCAAGCGGUUCUUGCAUUCUGUGUGUUGACUGUUGUGAAGAUGGUGAGAGAAGAAACAUGGGAGGCCUUCACUGCAGAAAUUCUGUUUUUCGCAAAGAUUUUCCUUGUCGCCAUCGCUUUAGUCAUGGAUUAUCACUUGGCUAUUUGGUACAUGUUGGUAUUUUUAGUUAUAUAUAUUAUAGCGCAACAACCUGCGUACAACGGACUAGGUGCGUCAAAUCAAUUGACACCACUGCAGUUGGAAGCUUUGCUGACUGAGGGGACCACAUCAAGAUUUUGGCUGGUAGAAUUUCGUGCUUUGUCUUCAUCUACUUGCAUACGUACCAGUCGGUUCUUUCCCGACCUCUCAAUUACAUACGCAAACAAAAAUAUAUCUUUUGGGAUAGUUGAUCUGGGCCUCUUUCCAAAUGCCGCAGAAAGAUUUGGAAUCUCUCUUGUGAUCCAUUUGGGGGAUUAUACUUAUAGGGAGCAUCGGCCAACUUCCAGUGUAUAUAUUAUUUGAAAAUGCAACGGAGGUUACACGCUUUCCUCAGGUCAAUUUUGAAGCAAAAGCUUCUAAUCCUCCUAUAACGAAGAAACUUCUUUGCCAGCUUUUUGAGCUUGACCGACACCUUCUUCAAUAUGUGAAUGGUAAUUAGGUAAAUUGUUCAGCAUUAUAAGUUGUGUACAAUAGAUCUUUUCAUGUUCCAAUUUUUCCUCUCUGUUGUAUUACAUUCCAUUUAAACGCUAUCUCCCAUAUAGUAUAACUAUUGGUACGUGCUUCUCCGAAACAGUUUGGGGAUUUAGGAAUUUCAGCUGGUUGCAAUGUUUAGUUACAGAAAAUCCAUGUGCUAGUUAAAAUAUCACUGACCUUUUUCAUUUGCCAAGCAAGGAAAUUUGACAUAUUGUCAAGGUUACCUAUUGACACUGAUUUGUGGCUAGACCAUUUGAUACUUUGAUGUCAAAUUUGUUGACAAGGGGCAAGAUUUUCAUUUA